rnacentral:rRNA from 1 species
CCUACGGGUGGCUGCAGUGGGGAAUAUUGGGCAAUGGGCGCAAGCCUGACCCAGCAACGCCGCGUGAAGGAAGAAGGCUCUCGGGUUUUAAACUUCUUUUCUCAGGGACGAAGAAAGUGACGGUACCUGAGGAAUAAGCCACGGCUAACUACGUGCCAGCAGCCGCGGUAAUACGUAGGUGGCAAGCGUUAUCCGGAUUUAUUGGGUGUAAAGGGCGUGUAGGCGGGAGGGUAAGUCAGAUGUGAAAACUCGGGGCUCAACCCUGAUCCUGCAUUUGAAACUGGGUUUCUUGAGUGCUGGGGAGGCAAGCGGAAUUCGGGGUGUAGCGGUGAAAUGCGUAGAUA